rnacentral:rRNA from 1 species
GACGGAGGAUGCAAGCGUUAUCCGGAAUGAUUGGGCGUAAAGCGUCCGCAGGUGGCAGUUCAAGUCUGCUGUCAAAGACCGGGGCUUAACUUCGGAAAGGCAGUGGAAACUGAACAGCUAGAGUAUGGUAGGGGCAGAGGGAAUUCCUGGUGUAGCGGUGAAAUGCGUAGAGAUCAGGAAGAACAUCGGUGGCGAAGGCGGCAUCCUGGACCGGCAUUGACGCUGAGGCGCGAAAGCCAGGGGAGCAAACGGG